rnacentral:rRNA from 1 species
GAUGAACGCUGGCGGCGUGCCUAAUACAUGCAAGUCGAGCGAACAGACGAGGAGCUUGCUCCUCUGACGUUAGCGGCGGACGGGUGAGUAACACGUGGAUAACCUACCUAUAAGACUGGGAUAACUUCGGGAAACCGGAGCUAAUACCGGAUAAUAUAUUGAACCGCAUGGUUCAAUAGUGAAAGACGGUUUUGCUGUCACUUAUAGAUGGAUCCGCGCCGCAUUAGCUAGUUGGUAAGGUAACGGCUUACCAAGGCAACGAUGCGUAGCCGACCUGAGAGGGCGAUCGGCCACACUGGCACUGCGACACGGUCCAGACUCCUACGGGAGGCAGCAGUAGGGAAUCUUCCGCAAUGCGCGAAAGCCUGACGGAGCAACGCCGCGUGAGUGAUGAAGGUCUUCGGAUCGUAAAACUCUGUUAUUAGGGAAGAACAAAUGUGUAAGUAACUAUGCACGUCUUGACGGUACCUAAUCAGAAGACCACGGCUAACUACGUG